AGAAGUCUCUUUGAUGGAGGGUAAAGACUACACUUAUCUGUGGAUUCAGGGGCAAAAGUAUAAAACGUAGUCAGAUUCUUCUUUAGACAGCAGCUCCUGUGAUUUGCCUCCUAGCUUGAACAACCCAUGUCCUUCCCACGUACAAACUGGGCUCACCCCUCCUCAGACCCCAGAAAUCUCUACUUCAAGGAAACAUCAAUUCCGUUUCUAGGACUCCAUGAUGUAGUACAAAAGCCAGGCAAGAUAUACCCAAUGGUGUAACAGUGAUACUUUUAUCAUGAGCCUCACCAACCAGCUGUCUAAUUAGACUCAAGGUCUGCUCAGUAAGAAGGAAUUUGUGUGAAGAUUUACCCAACUACUAUGGCUGGAUAAGUCAUGGACCCUAGCUGAGAACAUACCGCUGUCAUUUUCCUAAACUGGAUGCCGGCUGUUACUACAUUUACAGAAGCUGCCAUUUGUGAGACACGUGAGAAUACUAGAAAAUCUCAGGAAAGGAAGAAUAGACAGCUGGUGAUGUGAAAUGGAUGGCUGGUUGGUGGCGAAGAGAUGAGGAAAUAUGGGGGGGGGGGACAUUCAGAUGUCAAAAGACGUGCUGCCUUUCCUCAGUUGAUUAAGUUACAUACAAAAAAGUAAAGAAGACCUCACUUAGCAGACCUGGUUGAAUAGAGUAUCCCAGAAAAAGAAAGAAGUUAUACAAGCACACUUUGAGGUCUACUAAGAAGCACUGUUUUAAAGAGCAGAUAAAGAGGAGGGGCCAUGCUCCUUCCCUUCCCUUCCAGAACAAUCUUUGGCCUUAGUAGCUUAGUGAUUAGCCUUAAGUAGCUUCGAUGCCAAUGAAUAGGGAGAGCCCACAGAUGGAGAAGCACUAGUCCACCUCCAAUCUCAACCAGCUCCUAACCAUGCUCUCUCUCUCUCUCUCUGUCUCUCUGUCUCUCUGUCUCUCUCUCU